GCGGGGAAUGUCACAGAAGGGCCAGGGCCACAGGGCAACCAAAGACUCUGAGAGCAGUGCCUGUGAGUCAGCUCACUGAAAGACCACUCCUCUAAGGCUGUUCACCCCGUUGCCUUGGUUUAAUCUCUUAUAAGCUAGGCUCCCUGACACCAUGGCUGGAGAGAACCUGGGUAGGGCCUGCUGGAAAGAGCCCCCAGUUCAGCAUGGGCUGGGAGACCUCCUGCCUGGGGUGAGAAGGGAAACUGGAGCAGGGCCCCGACUAUAGUGGAAGAAAGCCUGGGACUCCUUAGUGGUGAACCAAUUCCAACCACCCCUUCCUAAGGCUUUACUCAUCCCCAGAUGUUUACAGUUGCUUGCACAAGACUGGGGUGAGCCUCCCGGAAUUUACAAGAGCCAAGCCGCCUCCACCAUGUCCUACGUCCUCCCCACAGAGAACUCCCAUAGAGAACAAUCGGGGAUGAGUGUGUCAGUGAAGCCCAAGCCAUGGAGGCUCUUGGACAAGCCCCCAAACUUCCAAGGCCCAGAAGGCUCCCUGAAUUGGGGGUGGGGGCUUUCUCUGACAACUCCUGCCCACCCUCUUUGGAGAGCAGAACAAAACAAGUGCUUCCAAAGGGAAAACAGAACUGUGUUGCGCUAUCCGUGAUACCGCUGAGGAAACAGAAGUCAGCCAAAGAGAACUUCCAAGAUUCCCACCACCAGUUCACCUCACCUGUCAGACGCUGCCUUCCUUCUCACUGAAGAUGAGCUGUCGUGCUCCAGCGGGGGCAAACUCCCCCACUCUAGUCCCUCUCGCCCUCACAAGCAUAGCUCAUGGCUUCAGCAGCUGUCCCUCUCUCCUAGAUCAUUGGUUUUCCCUUCUCCCCUAUCCAUCACCAAUAUGCUGACGCUUCGUCCAUUUUCAAGACACCUUCCCUGGGGUGUGUUUACUCCGUUAUAAUCUACUGAGCUGUACUUAUGAUUUGUGAACUUUACGUCUGUCUUAUUUCAAUUAAAAAA